AUACGGAGGGUCCAAGCGUUAUCCGGAAUCAUUGGGUUUAAAGGGUCCGCAGGCGGUCAAUUAAGUCAGAGGUGAAAGCCCAUCGCUCAACGAUGGAACUGCCCUUGAUACUGGUUGACUUGAGUUAUACGGAAGUAGAUAGAAUAAGUAGUGUAGCGGCGAAAUGCAUAGAUAUUACUUAGAAUACCGAUUGCGAAGGCAGUCUACUACGUAUAUACUGACGCUGAGGGACGAAAGCGUGGGGAGCGAACAGGAUUAGAAACCCGAGUAGUCC
rnacentral:rRNA from 1 species